rnacentral:rRNA from 1 species
AGAGUUUGAUCCUGGCUCAGGAUGAACGCUAGCGGCAGGCUUAACACAUGCAAGUCGAGGGGCAGCAUGGGGAGUAGCAAUACUCUCUGAUGGCGACCGGCGCAAGGGUGCGUAACGCGUGAGCAACUUGCCCUCAUCAGGGGAAUAAUCGCUGGAAACGGCGUCUAAUGCCCCAUGGCGAUGGAAUCAGGCAUCUGGUUCCAUCUAAAGAUCCGUCGGAUGAGGAUAGGCUCGCGUGACAUUAGCUUGACGGCGGGGUAACGGCCCACCGUGGCGACGAUGUCUAGGGGUUCUGAGAGGAAGGUCCCCCACACUGGAACUGAGACACGGUCCAGACUCCUACGGGAGGCAGCAGUGAGGAAUAUUGGUCAAUGGCCGGAAGGCUGAACCAGCCAUGCCGCGUGAAGGUCAGUGCCCUAUGGGCGUUAAACUUCUUUUGUGCGGGAGCAAUAAGGUCCACGUGUGGACCGACGAGAGUACCGUACGAAUAAGCAUCGGCUAACUCCGUGCCAGCAGCCGCGGUAAUACGGGGGAUGCAAGCGUUAUCCGGAUUUAUUGGGUUUAAAGGGUGCGUAGGCUGUGAGGUAAGUCAGCGGUGAAAUGCCCCCGCUCAACGGGGUGAAGUGCCAUUGAUACUGCCUUGCUGGAAUGCGGAUGCCGUGGGAGGAAUGUGUG